rnacentral:rRNA from 1 species
AUUGAACGCUGGCGGCAGGCCUAACACAUGCAAGUCGAGCGGCAGCGGGACCUUCGGGUUGCCGGCGAGCGGCGGACGGGUGAGUAAUGCCUAGGAAUCUGCCUGUUAGUGGGGGAUAACGCGGGGAAACUCGCGCUAAUACCGCAUACGUCCUACGGGGGAAAGCGGGGGCUCUUCGGACCUCGCGCUAACAGAUGAGCCUAGGUCGGAUUAGCUAGUUGGUGGGGUAAUGGCCCACCAAGGCGACGAUCCGUAACUGGUCUGAGAGGAUGAUCAGUCACACGGGAACUGAGACACGGUCCAGACUCCUACGGGAGGCAGCAGUGGGGAAUAUUGGACAAUGGGCGAAAGCCUGAUCCAGCCAUGCCGCGUGUGUGAAGAAGGUCUUCGGAUUGUAAAGCACUUUAAGUCGGGAGGAAGGGCUGUAGGCUAAUACCUUGCAGUUUUGACGUUACCGACAGAAUAAGCACCGGCUAACUUCGUGCCAGCCGCCGCCGUAAUAC